rnacentral:ncRNA from 2 species
UAAAAUUCUCAGGGCGGGGUGUAAUUCCCCACCGGCGGUAUGUUCCCGGCACAGAUUUUUAACCGGGAAUGAGCCCGCGAGCGCCCGGUUAUCCGGGGUCAGCAGAUCUGGUGAAAAGCCAGAGCCGACGGUAAUAGUCCGGAUGAGAGAGAAUUAAA